UGUAUUCAUCCCUAAACGCUACCAUGUGCAGCAUUUACACAGUAAUCCUUUAUACGUUUUAGAGUUCAAAAUAGGCCCGGGAGCAUUAACUGUUGCGUACAUUCUGUGCGUUCGCCAUCAGCAGCGUUACAGACAGACACACACAGGCUUCCACGCUAACACUUCCACCCUGCUUCCAUCAGAGCACAGUGUUUGGAGAUGAAAGAUGAGACAGAAUGUGAACUUCACAAGAGAGGAACACUCAUACCAUCAGAGGCGGCCAAUUGAUGUUUCCUCGAACGAUCUACAAUCAGUGGGAUGAGACUCAAAGGAGAGGCUGGAUGAUGAUGACCACAAUAAUAGCAUCCUGAGCGUCCGUGUCUGCUCUGGGCUGUAUCAGGAAGAGUUUUGUCGACUCUGAUUUCAUCGGACUGAAACCAUCUUCCCCAGCGUCACGGUUCUUUCACAUCCGCCACUCCAGCAUCCCUGCCUUCAUUCUACAGUAAUCCCGGCCGGAUUGGACCCUCUGGAGGACCACUUUUGGACCACGGGCCUCAUGUUGGACACCCCUGGAUUAGCUCCUUCCUACCUAAUCCCUGAGCAAACAGGAGGAGGUCCGACCUGUGGAGUGUUUGGAUGAUGGAGGAGGACUGAGAGAAGGAAUCAAUGAAGUGAAGUUCCAGAUCGCUGUGACCAGGCGUGAACUAACCGUGACGUCACCCGUUGGUUUCAACGACGAGAAAAUGAAGCCCGGAUUUUGCUACUUCCUGGUCGCCAUUUUGGAUUUUUUGGAGCCAGUGACGUAAAAAGCGUCAUCAAACAGACUGGACCGGAGAGCAACUAGGGGCAGGAUUGGCUGAGGACUCUCUUAUCCCGCCCACGUCUUACCGCAGAGGCUUCUGUUGCUGUCCAUCAAGUAUAGCCACGCCCCCUGGCUCCGCCAACUUUAACGAUUUAUUUAAAAUUCAGUAUUGAUUUAUUUUAAGAUCGGCCACCUGAUCUCUCAUUUUGAUCAUGAAAACUAACGGGAAAAAAAUCCUGAGCUGUAGAACAUCAGUCUAUCAAAUUUAAUUUUUUCCAAAAAUGAAUUGGGGUCUAUGGAGAAAAAGCUUUUUGGAGCCAACCCUAGUGGACGGCGUGAUAUUGCAAGUUUUUGACACUUCUGGGUGGGCUUCAUUUUUGGAGCCAGAUGCUACGUCCAUCUUUAUAUACAGUCUAUGGAUGUGACUAAAAGUUUUGUGCCUUUUUGUAGAUAAACUGUGAUCUGGAAGUUGUAAUGUGGAAAUGAAAAACUAAGGCAUAAAAUUGUUGAAAUUGAAUUUAUUUUUCUGUAAAAAAAUUUUAGAUGGUUCAUGAUGUUUCGUAAAAAGUAGUUUCUUAAAUGUGAACUUUUUCAGAAUGUACUUUUUGCACUAAAACAAAGGAACCAUGAGGAAUUGUUGUUAUUUUUUAUAGGUUACUAUGCUGUGGUCUUACUGGUCUGGAACACUUCAGAUCAGAUUGGGCUGAAUGUGGAACCUGGACUACGAUGACUUUGACACCCUGACAUAGAGAAUAAACCAUCGUCACUACAGUCA